GAUGAACGUUGGCGGCGUGCCUAAUACAUGCAAGUCGAGCGAACGGACGAGAAGCUUGCUUCUCUGAUGUUAGCGGCGGACGGGUGAGUAACACGUGGAUAACCUACCUAUAAGACUGGGAUAACUUCGGGAAACCGGAGCUAAUGCCGGAUGAUAUUUUGAACCGCAUGGUUCAAAAGUGAAAGACGGUCUUGCUGUCACUUAUAGAUGGAUCCGCGCUGCAUUAGCUAGUUGGUAAGGUAACGGCUUACCAAGGCAACGAUGCAUAGCCGACCUGAGAGGGUGAUCGGCCACACUGGAACUGAGACACGGUCCAGACUCCUACGGGAGGCAGCAGUAGGGAAUCUUCCGCAAUGGGCGAAAGCCUGACGGAGCAACGCCGCGUGAGUGAUGAAGGUCUUCGGAUCGUAAAACUCUGUUAUUAGGGAAGAACAUAUGUGUAAGUAACUGUGCACAUCUUGACGGUACCUAAUCAGAAAGCCACGGCUAACUACGUG
rnacentral:rRNA from 1 species